GCUGGCGGCAGGCCUAACACAUGCAAGUCGAGCGGUAGAGAGGUGCUUGCACCUCUUGAGAGCGGCGGACGGGUGAGUAAUGCCUAGGAAUCUGCCUGGUAGUGGGGGAUAACGUCCGGAAACGGACGCUAAUACCGCAUACGUCCUACGGGAGAAAGCAGGGGACCUUCGGGCCUUGCGCUAUCAGAUGAGCCUAGGUCGGAUUAGCUAGUUGGUGGGGUAAAGGCUCACCAAGGCGACGAUCCGUAACUGGUCUGAGAGGAUGAUCAGUCACACUGGAACUGAGACACGGUCCAGACUCCUACGGGAGGCAGCAGUGGGGAAUAUUGGACAAUGGGCGAAAGCCUGAUCCAGCCAUGCCGCGUGUGUGAAGAAGGUCUUCGGAUUGUAAAGCACUUUAAGUUGGGAGGAAGGGUACUUACCUAAUACGUGAGUAUUUUGACGUUACCGACAGAAUAAGCACCGGCUAACUCUGUGCCAGCAGCCGCGGUAAUACAGAGGGUGCAAGCGUUAAUCGGAAUUACUGGGCGUAAAGCGCGCGUAGGUGGUUCGUUAAGUUGGAUGUGGAAUCCCCGGGCUCAACCUGGGAACUGCAUCCAAAACUGGCGAGCUAGAGUAUGGUAGAGGGUGGUGGAAUUUCCUGUGUAGCGGUGAAAUGCGUAGAUAUAGGAAGGAACACCAGUGGC
rnacentral:rRNA from 1 species